rnacentral:rRNA from 1 species
GAUGAACGCUGGCGGCGUGCCUAACACAUGCAAGUCGAGCGAUCUUCUUCGGGAGAGAGCGGCGGACGGGUGAGUAACGCGUGGGUAACCUGCCUCAUACACAUGGAUAACAUACCGAAAGGUAUGCUAAUACAAGAUGUUAUAAGAGAUUCGCAUGGAUUUCUUAUCAAGCUUUUGCGGUAUGAGAUGGACCCGCGUCUGAUUAGCUAGUUGGUAAGGUAAUGGCUUACCAAGGCGACGAUCAGUAGCCGACCUGAGAGGGUGAUCGGCCACAUUGGAACUGAGACACGGUCCAAACUCCUACGGGAGGCAGCAGUGGGGAAUAUUGCACAAUGGGCGAAAGCCUGAUGCAGCAACGCCGCGUGAGCGAUGAAGGCCUUCGGGUCGUAAAGCUCUGUCCUCAAGGAAGAUAAUGACGGUACUUGAGGAGGAAGCCCCGGCUAACUACGUGCCAGCCGCCGCGGUAAUAC